AUUGAAACUAAUACAAAAUGGAUAAACCCAACGUUCUCGCUCGCGUAGUCAAGGUUUUGGGCCGUACCGGCUCCCAGGGGCAGUGUACCCAGGUGAAGGUCGAGUUCAUUGGAGAGACCAGCCGCCAGAUCAUCAGGAACGUGAAGGGGCCAGUUCGUGAUGGUGACAUCCUUACGCUGCUGGAAUCUGAGCGUGAAGCCAGAAGAUUGAGAUAAAUGGUUGGAUAUAAUUCAUAGGUUAAGGCUCUUAAUAUCUUUAUAUCAAUGUAAUAUUAUCUUAAAAACAAAACCGUCAAAGAUGACCAUAUUUGUGAACACUAUUCAACAAUAAACACUUUAUCUUCAAA